UACGUAGGGGGGCUAGCGUUGUCCGGAUUUAUUGGGCGUAAAGAGCGUGUAGGCGGCCAGGUAGGUCUGCUGUGAAAAACUCGAGGCUCAACCUCGAGAUGUCGGCGGAAACCAUCUGGCUAGAGUCCGGAAGAGGAGAGUGGAAUUCCUGGUGUAGCGGUGAAAAUGCGCAGAUAUCAGGAAGAACACCCGUGGCGAAGGCGGCUCUCUGGGGACGGUACUGACGCUGAGACGCGAAAAGCGUGGGGGAGCGAACAGG
rnacentral:rRNA from 1 species